GAUGAAGAACGUAGUGAAAUGCGAUAAGUAAUGUGAAUUGCAGAAUUCAGUGAAUCAUCGAAUCUUGAACGCAUCUUGCGCUCCUUGGUAUUCCGAGGAGCAUGCCUGUUUGAGUGUCAUCAAGUUCUCAAACUGCAUCCAUUUGAAGGGUGUGGAUUUGGAUUAUGGAGUUUGCAGGCUCUUUGAUUGAGGUCUGCUCCUCUGAAAUGUAUUAGUGGCGAUGUGGAAAAGCUACUGUGGGUGUGAUAAAUAUCUAUGCCUUAUGCAGUGUUCUGCUAUGCCGCUUGCAGGGAGAAAUUUCAUUUUUGACAAACUUGACCUCAAAUCAGGUAGGACUACCCGCUGAACUUAAGCAUAUCAAUAAGCGGAGGA
rnacentral:misc_RNA from 1 species